rnacentral:rRNA from 1 species
UAGGGAAUCUUGCGCAAUGGGCGAAAGCCUGACGCAGCCAUGCCGCGUGAAUGAUGAAGGUCUUAGGAUUGUAAAAUUCUUUCACCGGGGAAGAUAAUGACGGUACCCGGAGAAGAAGCCCCGGCUAACUUCGUGCCAGCAGCCGCGGUAAUACGAAGGGGGCUAGCGUUGCUCGGAAUUACUGGGCGUAAAGGGCGCGUAGGCGGACAGUUUAGUCAGAGGUAAAAGCCCAGGGCUCAACCUUGGAACUGCCUUUGAUACUGGCUGUCUUGAGUUCGGGAGAGGUGAGUGGAAUGCCGAGUGUAGAGGUGAAAUUCGUAGAUAUUCGGCGGAACACCAGUGGCGAAGGCGACUCACUGGCCCGAUACUGACGCUGAGGCGCGAAAGCGUGGGGAGCAAAC